AUUGAACGCUGGCGGCAUGCUUUACACAUGCAAGUCGAACGGUAACAGGCCUUCGGGUGCUGACGAGUGGCGAACGGGUGAGUAAUGCAUCGGAACGUGCCCAGAGGUGGGGGAUAACGCAGCGAAAGCUGUGCUAAUACCGCAUGUGAUCUGAGGAUGAAAGCGGGGGACCAGGCAGCAAUGUUUGGCCUCGCGCCUUUGGAGCGGCCGAUGUCAGAUUAGGUAGUUGGUGGGGUAAAGGCCUACCAAGCCGACGAUCUGUAGCUGGUCUGAGAGGACGACCAGCCACACUGGGACUGAGACACGGCCCAGACUCCUACGGGAGGCAGCAGUGGGGAAUUUUGGACAAUGGGCGCAAGCCUGAUCCAGCAAUGCCGCGUGCAGGAAGAAGGCCUUCGGGUUGUAAACCGCUUUUGUACGGAACGAAAAGGCUCUGGCUAAUACCUGGGGCUGAUGACGGUACCGUAAGAAUAAGCACCGGCUAACUACGUG
rnacentral:rRNA from 1 species